GCAGACGCACUCUGUUCUUUGCUGCUCCCUCCAGCCUGGGACUUUUUCUGUCUGCUACAUGAACAUGCAGAAUGUAGCAUUUCACUGGCUCUCGAACUGGUACUGCUGGUGUCACUAUGUUCUGCUACAAUGCA
rnacentral:snoRNA from 1 species